rnacentral:rRNA from 1 species
AACGAACGCUGGCGGCAGGCUUAACACACGCAAGUCGAACGCAUCCUUCGGGGUGAGUGGCAGACGGGUGAGUAACGCGUGGGAACGUGCCCUUCAGUUCGGGAUAACCCAGGGAAACUUGGGCUAAUACCGGAUACGUGCGAGAGCAGAAAGAUUUAUCGCUGAAGGAUCGGCCCGCGUCUGAUUAGCUAGUUGGUGGGGUAAUGGCCCACCAAGGCGACGAUCAGUAGCUGGUCUGAGAGGAUGAUCAGCCACAUUGGGACUGAGACACGGCCCAAACUCCUACGGGAGGCAGCAGUGGGGAAUAUUGGACAAUGGGCGCAAGCCUGAUCCAGCCAUGCCGCGUGAGUGAUGAAGGCCUUAGGGUUGUAAAGCUCUUUCGUCCGGGAUGAUAAUGACGGUACCGGAAGAAGAAGCCCCGGCUAACUUCGUGCCAGCCGCCGCCGUAAAAC